GGCAGAUAUAAAAAAAAUAUAUAUUCUAUAUUUUUAUAGAACUCUUCUUCCAUGAAUGAGAUCUUCUCUCUUUGGAUGAAAAAAUAGAGAAGCAGAAGAGGGAAACAUGGCGGGAAAGCAUAGGUCAUGGAGAGCUUCGAGGCAAGGAAUACAAGAAAAACACGUGGAAGUAAAGCACCUUGGGAAAAGUUAAAAAAGCCAAACAAGCCGACAGAAGGUGGCGCAAUGAGAUCUGGUCUGUGACUGGGUCUGGUUCUGGUUCAUCACUGUUCUUCCCCCGUAUCCCGCCACCAUAUUCUCUUUUAUGGCCACAACAAACACUAGCCACAAACAAAGCAUGGCCUUCUUCUUCUUUCUCAUCAUUUUUGUUCUUUUGCUUGCUCUUGUUUCACUUGUGCUCCCAACAAGAUUGUCUUUUUCAUUUACUUGAUUUGAAUGAGAGUUAAUUUCAGGGAAUACUUUUUGUUUUUUAAGUAAAACAUAUUUUUAAUGCAUUAAUGUUGAAACCCAAGUCAGAGGGAAAAGAGUACAUAUGCAAUGUACAUUUGUACUACUGGAAUAUGAAAAUUUAUAAUGAGGGGCCACAGACAAGAGUGUGCUUGUGCAGUAUGCAGGUUCUCUGAGCUCUGAUUUGAUAUAUUUUAAAUCCUAUGGCUUUGUGAGGGAGGAAGAUCUG
rnacentral:misc_RNA from 1 species